AUUGAACGCUGGCGGCAUGCCUUACACAUGCAAGUCGAACGGCAGCACGGGAGCAAUCCUGGUGGCGAGUGGCGAACGGGUGAGUAAUAUAUCGGAACGUGCCCAGUAGUGGGGGAUGACUGCUCGAAAGAGCAGCUAAUACCGAAUACGACCUGAGGGUGAAAGGGGGGGAUCGCAAGACCUCUCGCUAUUGGAGCGGCAGAUAUCAGAUUAGCUAGUUGGUGGGGUAAAGGCCUACCAAGGCAACGAUCUGUAGUUGGUCUGAGAGGACGACCAGCCACACUGGGACUGAGACACGGCCCAGACUCCUACGGGAGGCAGCAGUGGGGAAUUUUGGACAAUGGGCGCAAGCCUGAUCCAGCAAUGCCGCGUGCAGGAAGAAGGCCUUCGGGUUGUAAACUGCUUUUGUCAGGGAAGAAAUCCUCUAGGUUAAUACCCUUGGGGGGAUGACGGUACCUGAAGAAUAAGCACCGGCUAACUACGUGCCAGCCGCCGCGGUAAAAC
rnacentral:rRNA from 1 species